AAAACGUCGGGAAGAAGUGGAACCGCUUCUAGUAAAAGUAGCAAACUCAGGAUCAAUCACAAUUCCCUGAACUUGUCUUCGUCCUCUCCGUCCCAACAAGUUUACUCCGCCAUGU
rnacentral:sRNA from 1 species